rnacentral:RNase_P_RNA from 1 species
AGAGUAGAACAGAUGGUCGCGUUCCGCUGAAAAUCUUUGUUUUGGUCGCAAUUCUUUGUUAGCGACCAAAAUGAAGAUCGAGACGAGGAAAGUCCGAACUCCACAGGCCAAUGGUGCUGGGUAACACCCAGGCAGAGUAAUCUGACAGAUAGCACAACAGAAAGUAAACCGCCUCGGUUCACCGAAUCGGGGUAAGGGUGAAACGGCGGGGUAAGAGCCCACCAGUCCCGAUGGUGACAUCGGGAGCUCGGCAAGCCUCACCUGGAGCAAGGCCAAAUAGGAGGGAAAUAAGCUGGCCAGCGUUCCCUCGGGUAGUGCCGCUAGAGGUUCCGAGUAAUCGGAAUCCUAGAUGAAUGACCAUCAUCCACGAUUGGUUCACACUAAUCAUGGAAACAGAAUUCGGCUUAUGGGCUGCUCUAACC